rnacentral:rRNA from 1 species
CCUACGGGUGGCAGCAGUAGGGAAUUUUCGGCAAUGGGGGGAACCCUGACCGAGCAACGCCGCGUGAACGAAGAAGUUAUUCGUAAUGUAAAGUUCUUUUAACAGGGAAGAAAGAGAAAUUUGACGGUACCUGAAGAAUAAGCCCCGGCUAACUACGUGCCAGCAGCCGCGGUAAUACGUAGGGAGCAAGCGUUGUCCGGAUGUACUGGGUGUAAAGGGCGUGUAGCCGGGCUGACAAGUCAGAUGUGAAAUCCGGGGGCUCAACCCCCGAACUGCCUUGGAAACUGGUGGUCUUGAGUAUGGGAGAGGCAGGCGGAAUUCGUGGUGUAGCGGUGAAAUGCGUAGAUAUUAGGAGGAACACCAGUGGCGAAGGCGGCCUGCUGGACGACAACUGACGGUGAGGCGCGAAAGCGUGGGGAGCAAACAGGAUUAGAUACCCGGGUAGUC